ensembl:lncRNA
CGAGUGUUCUUGAGGAAAACCUGCCGCCGUAAAGGAGACGCUGAGGGAGCCACAGGUGAGACCUUGUUGGGACGGAGCUCAGCGAACCAGAGACUGUCGUCUUCACGAGAAGGACGUCUGUAUUCAUGUCGCGUAAUGAAGCUUCUUCUUUGUGUCACGCUGACUCUGAGUUGAGAUGAAUGUGCAGCUCCUCACGCUCUGACGAGGACUUUGAUUACCUGCCGCUGAUUACAACCUUCUCAGGGCACUCAUGACGUCACCAGACGAGCGCGCCCUGGAGGAGCUGCUGUGCGGCAGUGACCUUGGUGACGAG